UAUUAUCCCUCCUUUAUUCAAGGUCUUUUAUAUUAUUAUACUCUAAAAACGACAUAUACACAUUAUACAAGUUAUAGAUGUCGGGGAAAUCUUUCAAGUUAAUUUCAUAAGCAAACCUAUCCUUUUUAUCAUACUUAUCAUUAUAUAUGUGAAUAUGACUUUUCGGAGCGAUUGUUCCAUCUGGAUUAUCGUGAGUACCACCGUUAAUAUCUAUUCUAACUAGGGUGUGAUAGGUAUCUUUGAAAAUGAUUGAAAUUGAAAACCUAUCUUUUUCUAUGUUCCCUCUUUUUAUCGUUAAUAAGUACUUUAUUCCUAACUUAAAACUUAUUAUUUCUUGCCUUUCAUUUAUUCGACUAGCAACUAUUGUUUUUAAUUCAUUUACAUCGAUAUGAGUUUCUGGAUAUUUUAAUUCAUUUAUUAAUAAUUUUACGUGCUCGUCGUUAAGACUAUUUAAAUCAAGUUUAGCCAUGUCUGUUCCU
rnacentral:sRNA from 1 species